AUUGAACGCUGGCGGCAGGCCUAACACAUGCAAGUCGAACGAGUGGCGGACGGGUGAGUAAUGUCUGGGAAACUGCCUGAUGGAGGGGGAUAACUACUGAAAACGGUAGCUAAUACAGCAUACAAUAAGAUGUGCCCAGAUGGGAUUAGCUGGUUGGUGGGGUAACGGCUCACAAAGGCGACGAUCCCUCGAUGGUCUGAGAGUAUGACCAGCCACACUGGAACUGAGACACGGUCCAGACUCCUACGUGAGUCAGCAGUGGGUCACAGUGCACAAUGGGCGCAAGCCUGAUGCAGCCAUGCCGCGUGUAUGAAGAAGGCCUUCGGGUUGUAAAGUACUUUCAGCGGGGAGGCGUUACCCGCAGAAGAAGCACCGGCUAACUCCGUGCCAGCAGCCGCGGUAAUUC
rnacentral:rRNA from 1 species